AUGGGCCUUUGGAUCCGUUUGUUUUUCAUUGUAGCGGCUUUAGAAGGUGUCUGGUCCCAGGUGCAGCUGGUGGAGUCUGGAGGGGAUGUGAAAAAGCCCGGAGACUCUCUCCGCCUCUCCUGCAAGGGUUCUGGAUACACCUUCAGCAGCCACCAGAUGAGCUGGGUCCGCCAGGCUCCCGGGAAGGGACUGGAGUGGAUCGCUUUCAUUGAUGUCACCACUAUAUAUUACGCUGACUCCGUUAAGGGUCGAUUCACCAUCUCCAGGGACAACUCCAACAGCCUGUUGUACCUGGAAAUGACCGGCUUGAAGCCCGAGGACACCGCCCGGUAUCACUGUGCAAGACACACAGGGCGAUUCACAGCCUCCAAGGACAGCUCCAACUUCUACCUGCAAAUGACCAGCUUGAAGCCUGCCUUGUAUCAGGUGUGA